GGCAUAAUCUGUAAAGAAGUCUUUAAAAUCUUCAAAAUCAUUUUAGAAUUUUUUAUUUCUACUUCUAUUUUACAUUGACACGAAAUUAUGUCUAAAUGUCUGCAGCACACCUGUAGAGUAAGAAUCUGAAUUUUAGUCAAAUUCUCUCAGUGGAUAAACCAUAUACCGUCUAUGGGAUAAACAGAUGAAAGCAUGUCGUGGGCUGGAAAUAAUUCGUAGACAGUCCCUAGGCAAUCGCCAAGCCACCUUCCUCCGGGGAAUCCCCAUUAAAUAUGGAUUUAUGUUGAUGGGACGAGUGAACAACAUUUCCCACUUGCAAGAUUGAUAUAACUAACUGCUAACUCAAGUUAAAUGUCAAUUCCAACCAACAUGACUACAUUUUUUUGUCUGAAAGGAACCUGCCCAGCUAGCAGCAGCCGGACCGAGCUCGGUUCAGUUAAGGCUGAGAGUCAGCGUCGGAUGGUGACAUCUGGGCCUACUGCAAGCCGACUUUGAUGCCGCACACGGGCCAUUAUAUGCGAUAAAAGAUCGUGAAGAUUAAGGCAACUGCACGGCAAAUUGUGAUUUUUAUCCCCCCAUCCCCACUUUGGUUAUAAGGGAAGUAAGAAGCAAAUUGACAUGUUCCGACCAGAAUGUAUUUAGUAUGUUAUGCAUUCUGAUCGCUUGUUUUUUAAAAUAAAUAACUGAGAUUUUACAAUUAUGCCCUGUACGGUUUUUCUUGUCAAGAAUUCCUCGCGCUCCUCUUCGCGAGCCGCAGUCUAGGUUUACAACUGACAGUUACAACUUUACUUCAGUGGAUGUCCCGAAAUGAGUGCUGUACUCCGAAACCCUCUGACUUCCAGUGCUUCUGACAGGGACAUUGAAAAGUACAUAAAGAGGUGGAUGCAGCUGGCCUUGGACUGAGAUGGAGGGAGAAAGAAGAGGGAGAGCUGGAGUAGAGAAGAUUAUCAGAUUGGAGUGCAAUAACAAGAGAGUCUCUGGCUAGGUUAGGUGUUUGGGCUCGGUUCAUUUUAGGCAUAAAAAUCUGAGUUAUUCUUUGGUUUUAUAACAGUUGGAUUUGUAAAUAAGUAAAUGUUACUAGCAAAUCCUUUAUAAUGUAUUUUGAUAUAUAGUUCAUGUAAUAUUAUAGAAAAGUGUAAAAUGAAUAGGUAAUAAUAAUCUAAAUGUCAGUGAGCUUUGGCAUCCCCAUUUUGUUAGCAAUUUGUGUGUGUGUGUGCAUACGCUGGGUUGUGUCUGCUGUCAGUGUGUGAUAUUUGUAACAUAUUUGCUGUUAAUAAAGAACCGGUUUACUCUG